CAUAGGUUGUUUCAUUAGGUUUAGCCACUCCAACUGCUUUAUUUAUAUCAUAACCACUGAAACCACCUCAGGCCUCCUUCUCUCAGGGUUUGUGGUUUUGAGUUUUUGUCUUCCUUUCGAAGAUCCCAUCCUGUCAGUCUCGAACUGAGGAAGAAGCAAGAAGAUAUUCCAUACCUCCAUCAGAAGAUUUGCCAGCCCACCAAGUGGCGGCAGUGGAAGUAAGCCCAUCUAAGCACAGGAGCUGCCAGGACCAGGAACAGAUACUGCGGAGGAGUCCCCGAGAGAAAAACAAGCUCAGGUCUAGAAGAGGAUCGAACAUUCAGACUACAUUGCCAUGAGCAAAGACCCAGUAACUCCGAUGACAGCCUGCCUGGCAGGUUAAUGACCUGGGACUGAGUGGAGACUACAGAAGGAGCCAUUGAGUGCCCCCACUCCAGCCUGGAUUCAAACCCUCAACCAGACCCUCUUAUGGAGUACCAUUUUACCUCAUGCCCCUAGACUGGAAUUCAACACUUAGUUGGCCACCUUCAGGAAUGGACAAUAUUUGAAAUAUUCUUUUGCUAGUUAUCACUGCCUGUUCUGUUUAUAUCUUGUUUAACUUUCUUGUAGUUUGUAUAUCUCAGUAUCUCAGGAAUAUUGCUAAAACCAAAAUAAUGAUAGCUCAAUACCAAAAAAACCACUUAUCAGGCCAUAGCCCUUUGGACUCCCUGUUGACCUCAGAGACUACCUGACCUGACUGAGGCUGUGGUUUUUCAGUUGCUUCCUUGUUGUUUAGAUGUGGCCAAAGACCCAAAACUUGCUCCAUCACCACAGCUGCCAAGUAUACCUGCAGUGACAGAUGUGACUUCCUGGGACAGAUCUAUCCUACUGAUGUGGAUGAUUAUAAUACUACAUGGACCGGGAAUGCUUUCUUGUGGAAAGAUUUUGACCAAAAGGGAGAAAUAUCAAAGAAGAAAAUAAAAGUUGGAGUGGCAUUGAAGUGACAUUGGCUUAGUGCACAUCUACAUGCAGCUGACCUUAGGAAUGGGAUGCAGAAAUGUCCACUCCCAGAUGCAAGCUGGCCUCGGGACUGGGCCAAACUGCAGUAUCCUAAAACAUUGUUAACCUCUGCUGUCCUUUGAUACAAAAGACCCCUUUCCCAACUAUUUAGACUGAGACCACACCCAGUUCCUUUCUUAUAAGAUAGCUUAAAUUUUCCUAGAACCAGUUAUAAUUCCUGAUCAGCAAGAAACAUAAUUGUUACCCUAUGCUUUGUGGUUUAAAGCUAUAAAUACACUAGACAUUUUAUAAAUCCCAGAGCGCAUUUAUAAGAUUGUGUUUUUCUAGAAUUCUAACUAGCCCCAUGUAACUGUUAU